GCCAGCUCCAACAGCAGCCGCUGAUGACCGCUACGUUCGCGUCUGUGCGCCAAAAUCGUCGCUACUUGUCGUCGAAUGGUCUGUAAACGAUUCUUGGUACUACACCAGUGAAACGCAACUUCCUCUACGGUGUUAUGGGAAAAAUUGGGAUGGAGGCGCGGCAGGUGUGGGGCGCGUGCGCAGGCGUGGGCUCGCACUGGGCGCUGGGCGUGCUGCUGCUGCUGGGGUUGGCCGCCGAGGACUGGAGCGGGCCCGCCGCGCUGCUCUCGCUCGUGAUCGCCUUCA